rnacentral:rRNA from 1 species
GACCAACCCUUAAAGACUGCUGCAUCUUUAGGAUAUUCUAGUCCAACAUCGAGGUCACAAACUCUCUUUUCGAUAAGAGCUCUCAAAGAGAAUUAUGCUGUUAUCCCUAUGGUAACUAAUUUCAUCAAUCAAAAUUUCUGGAUCAAUACCUGUAGGUUUUACUAAUUAUAAAGAAGCUUUGUUUGUUCCAUAGUCGCCCCAACCAAAAUUUAAAAUAGAUUAAUAUUUAAAAUUAUAUAUUAUUUUCAAUUUAUUUUUUUAAAGCUCAAUAGGGUCUUCUUGUCUUUCAAUUUCAUCUAGGUUUCCUCACCUAGAAAUCAAGUUCUAAAAAAUUACAUAGAGACAGCUUUGUUCACGUCAAACCAUUCAUACUAGCCCUCAAUUAUAGGGCAAAUGAUUAUGCUACCUUUGCACGGUCAGAGUACCGCGGCCGUUAAAAUAUAAUUCACUGGGCAGGUCCGACUC